CAACCCUGUGACAUACCUAAAACGUUGCUUCGGCGGGAACAGACGGCCCUGUAACAACGGGCCGCCCCCGCCAGAGGACCCCUAACUCUGUUUUUAUAAUGUUUUUCUGAGUAAACAAGCAAAUAAAUUAAAACUUUCAACAACGGAUCUCUUGGCUCUGGCAUCGAUGAAGAACGCAGCGAAAUGCGAUAAGUAAUGUGAAUUGCAGAAUUCAGUGAAUCAUCGAAUCUUUGAACGCACAUUGCGCCCGCCAGUAUUCUGGCGGGCAUGCCUGUUCGAGCGUCAUUACAACCCUCAGGCCCCCGGGCCUGGCGUUGGGGAUCGGCGGAAGCCCCCUGUGGGCACACGCCGUCCCUCAAAUACAGUGGCGGUCCCGCCGCAGCUUCCAUUGCGUAGUAGCUAACACCUCGCAACUGGAGAGCGGCGCGGCCAUGCCGUAAAACACCCAACUUCUGAAUGUUGACCUCGAAUCACGUAGGAAUACCCGCUGAACUUAAGCAUAUCAAUAAGCGGAGGAAA
rnacentral:sRNA from 1 species